rnacentral:rRNA from 1 species
UACGUAGGGUGCAAGCGUUAAUCGGAAUUACUGGGCGUAAAGCGUGCGCAGGCGGUUUUGUAAGUCUGUUGUGAAAGCCCCCGAGCUCAACUUGGGAAUUGCAGUGGAUACUGGCGAGCUGGAGUGCGGUAGAGGAAGGUGGAAUUCCCGGUGUAGCGGUGAAAUGCGUAGAGAUCGGGAGGAACACCAGUGGCGAAGGCGGCCUUCUGGACCAGCACUGACACUCAAGCACGAAAGCGUGGGGAGCAAACAGG